CAAAGAAUGGCCUCUUUACUCCAAGUAUAAUCUCAUCAGUAAUAUCUUUAUUUCCAUCCAGAUAAAAACAACAGAAAGCCAGUGUACAUCCAGUUGCUGAAAUAAUAGUUUAAACAGUCCACUUAACAGUUAUGGGACAGAUCAAGAGCAUGUGGCCCUGCAAUGUGUAGCCUGUAUAAUUAAAAAUUGUAAACCGCCCGGAGAGUGCUUGUAGCGCUAUGGGGCGGUAUAUGAGUCCAAUAAAUAAAUAAAUA
rnacentral:lncRNA from 1 species